GUUUUGCUCAGGGUGCUCAACCUUGAAUCUCAAUAGACUCCAGAUAACAAGCCAGUCUUCUGCCUUUCAGUCACGCUCCUUCCACCUCAUCAGACUGGUUCCCAUGAGGCAGAGCAGGACUGGUGUGGGCCCCAGUGGAAUCUGUCUGGGAGGUUUCCUCUUCCACAGGAUGCACAAAAGGCCUGAGCAGGACAUGUGAGAGUGACCUCGCUGUCAUCUGGAAUAGUAUUUUCUCCCCUCCCCACCCUCACCUCUGAGCCACUGCCCCUAUGCGGAGCUGAAAAGGAAAAAGAAGGCCAGUUCCCAUCCUUAAGGAGCACAGUGAUGUUUGAGGGUCUUGGAGAAGUAAUUGGGUGGUGAU
rnacentral:lncRNA from 1 species